rnacentral:tRNA from 1 species
GCCUGGGUGGCUCAGUCAGUUAGGCGUCUGACUUCGGCUCAGGUCAUGAUCUCAGCUCGUGGGUUCGAGCCCCACCCUGGGCU